rnacentral:rRNA from 1 species
UUGGAGGGCAAGUCUGGUGCCAGCAGCCGCGGUAAUUCCAGCUCCAAUAGCGUAUAUUAAAGUUGUUGCAGUUAAAAAGCUCGUAGUUGAAUUUUGGACCUGGCUGGGUGGUCUUGCCGCAAGGUUAGCACUGCUCUGGUUGGGUCUUUCCUUCUGGGGAACCUGUGUGCGCUUAAUUGAGUGCGCAGGGGAUCCAGGACUUUUACUUUGAAAAAAUUAGAGUGUUUAAAGCAGGCGUACGCUUGAAUACAUUAGCAUGGAAUAAUAAAAUAGGCCUUCGGUUCUAUUUUGUUGGUUUCUAGGACCGGAAGAAUGAUUAAUAGGGAUAGUUGGGGGCAUUAGUAUUUGAUUGUCAGAGGUGAAAUUCUUGGAUUUAUCAAAGACUAACUUCUGCGAAAGCAUUUGCCAAGGAUGUUUUCAUUAAUCAAGAACGAAAGUUAGGGGAUCGAAGACGAUCAGAUACCGUCGUAGUCUUAACCAUAAACUAUGCCGACUAGGGAUCGGACGACGUUAAAUCAUUGACUCGUUCGGCACCUUACGGGAAAC